GAUGAACGCUGGCGGCGUGCCUAAUACAUGCAAGUAGAACGCUGAAGCUUGGUGCUUGCACCGAGCGGAUGAGUUGCGAACGGGUGAGUAACGCGUAGGUAACCUGCCUCUUAGCGGGGGAUAACUAUUGGAAACGAUAGCUAAUACCGCAUAAAAGUCGAUAUCGCAUGAUAUUGAUUUGAAAGGUGCAAUUGCAUCACUAAGAGAUGGACCUGCGUUGUAUUAGCUAGUUGGUGAGGUAACGGCUCACCAAGGCGACGAUACAUAGCCGACCUGAGAGGGUGAUCGGCCACACUGGGACUGAGACACGGCCCAGACUCCCACGGGAGGCAGCAGUAGGGAAUCUUCGGCAAUGGGGGCAACCCUGACCGAGCAACGCCGCGUGAGUGAAGAAGGUUUUCGGAUCGUAAAGCUCUGUUGUAAGAGAAGAACGAGUGUGAGAGUGGAAAGUUCACACUGUGACGGUAACUUACCAGAAAGGGACGGCUAACUACGUGCCAGCAGCCGCGGUAAUACGUAGGUCCCGAGCGUUAUCCGGAUUUAUUGGGCGUAAAGCGAGCGCAGGCGGUUAGAUAAGUCUGAAGUUAAAGGCUGUGGCUUAACCAUAGUACGCUUUGGAAACUGUUUAACUUGAGUGCAGAAGGGGAGAGUGGAAUUCCAUGUGUAGCGGUGAAAUGCGUAGAUAUAUGGAGGAACACCGGUGGCGAAAGCGGCUCUCUGGUCUGUAACUGACGCUGAGGCUCGAAAGCGUGGGGAGCAAACAGG
rnacentral:rRNA from 1 species